rnacentral:rRNA from 1 species
GAUGAACGCUGGCGGCGUGCCUAAUACAUGCAAGUCGAGCGAACGGACGAGAAGCUUGCUUCUCUGAUGUUAGCGGCGGACGGGUGAGUAACACGUGGAUAACCUACCUUUAAGACUGGGAUAACUUCGGGAAACCGGAGCUAAUACCGGAUAAUAUUUUGAACCGCAUGGUUCAAAAGUGAAAGACGGUCUUGCUGUCACUUAUAGAUGGAUCCGCGCUGCAUUAGCUAGUUGGUAAGGUAACGGCUUACCAAGGCAACGAUGCAUAGCCGACCUGAGAGGGUGAUCGGCCACACUGGAACUGAGACACGGUCCAGACUCCUACGGGAGGCAGCAGUAGGGAAUCUUGCGCAAUGGGCGAAAGCCUGACGGAGCAACGCCGCGUGAGUGAUGAAGGUCUUCGGAUCGUAAAACUCUGUUAUUAGGGAAGAACAUAUGUGUAAGUAACUGUGCACAUCUUGACGGUACCUAAUCAGAAAGCCACGGCUAACUACGUG